rnacentral:rRNA from 1 species
GAUGAACGCUGGCGGCGUGCCUAAUACAUGCAAGUCGAGCGAACAGAUAAGGAGCUUGCUCCUUUGACGUUAGCGGCGGACGGGUGAGUAACACGUGGAUAACCUACCUAUAAGACUGGGAUAACUUCGGGAAACCGGAGCUAAUACCGGAUAACAUAUUGAACCGCAUGGUUCAAUAGUGAAAGGCGGCUUUGCUGUCACUUAUAGAUGGAUCCGCGCCGUAUUAGCUAGUUGGUAAGGUAACGGCUUACCAAGGCAACGAUACGUAGCCGACCUGAGAGAGGGGUGGGGCACACGGAGAGUGAGACCCGCUGGAGGCUACUACGUGAGGGAGCCGCCGGGAAUCUUGCGCAAGGGUCGAAAACAUGACAGAGCAACGCAGCGUGAGAGAAAAAGGGCUUCGGAACGUAAAACUCUGUUAGCGGGGAAGAACAAAUGUGUAAGUAACAGUGCACAUCCUGACGGUACCUGAUCAGAAAGCCACGGCUACCUACGUG